rnacentral:rRNA from 1 species
UACAGAGGGGGCAAGCGUUAUUCGGAAUUAUUGGGCGUAAAGGGCGCGUAGGCGGCUUUGCAAGUGACGGGUGAAAUCCCUCGGCUUAACCGAGGAACUGCCUGUCAGACUGCAUUGCUUGAGUCCGGGAGAGGUGAGUGGAAUUCCCAGUGUAGCGGUGAAAUGCGUAGAUAUUGGGAGGAACACCAGUGGCGAAGGCGGCUCACUGGACCGGUACUGACGCUGAUGCGCGAAAGCGUGGGGAGCAAACGGG